rnacentral:rRNA from 1 species
GGCGGUUGCGUGUGGAAGCGCCGUCGCUCAACGGAUAAAAGGUACCCCGGGGAUAACAGGCUGAUCUUCCCCAAGAGUCCAUAUCGACGGGAAGGUUUGGCACCUCGAUGUCGGCUCAUCGCAUCNNNNAUUAAAGCGGUACGCGAGCUGGGUUUAGAACGUCGUGAGACAGUUCGGUCCCUAUCCUCUGCAGCCGGAGGAGAUUUGAGGAAAGCUGUCCCUAGUACGAGAGGACCGGGAUGGACGCAGCUCUCGUGUGCCAGUUGUCCCGCCAGGGGCAUGGCUGGUUAGCGACCUACGGGAGGGAUAACCGCUGAAAGCAUCUAAGCGGGAAGCCUGUUCCAAGAUGAGAUCUCCCACCGGGUUAACCGGGUAAGGCCCGUGGAAGACCACCACGUUGAUAGGCCGGAGGUGUAAGCACAGCAAUGUGUUCAGCUGACCGGUACUAAUCGGCCGAGGGCUUGGUUCUACACUC